UUAAAUUUUGAUAUAUAAUAAAAAUAAACUAAUAGUAAUAAUAAGAAAAAGAUUUUGAUUGAUUUUGAUUUUAUAUUAAUUUUUCUUGAUUUCUAGACUAAAAAACAUGAAAAAUCAAUAAUAUAAUAAUGAUUAAAAUAAAUUAAUAAAAAAUUCGAAAAUAAAAAAUAAAAAAUAAACAGGUGCCAUUUUAAUUGUAAAAUAAAACAUAAAAGUGAGGAGAGUGGAAAUCUUAC
rnacentral:lncRNA from 1 species